UCUCUCCUUUCUACCCAAAUGCAGCAACCGACCAUUCUCAAGCCAAGGUUAAACGCGCCGGCCACCGACCCACGACGUCCUCUUUGCUUCGAUUGGCCAUCCCGAACCGACCGAGGAGUCGAACCAGUCCUAAUCAAGGCCAAACCGAGACCCCAAGUAGACCCUUUUGUCUUCUUCCUCACUCAACUUAGAACUGAAAAGCCGAACCAAACAACUUUCUAACCCGGAGACUUCAACGCUGACGAAAUCUCCAACAAAAGUAUGGGCAAGGGAUGGGCGCUGUUGUCGGGCAUGGUGUGGCGUGGGGAACAACAAAGUAUAGGAGCUGCUGUCGGGCAGGGUGCUUGCGUGGGGAACAACAAGUAAAACAGAGAACACAAGUAACAAAAAUUGCAGAGCAAACAAAAAUCGUAUCCUUUUCACUUCAAGCUUUGAUAGAGGCUGAAAAAGAAGAGAUACAAAUCACAUUGAAGUUUUGAUUGUCUUGUCUGGUUAGAAAGCUUGCAUGUUACAUUGAAAUUCUUAUGGUGAUUGUGUAUGAUCUGGAGGAGCUAAUGAUGAAAUGGCGCUACUAUUAAUUUUUUUGGUAGAUAUUUUAUGUACCAGUUC